UGCAGUAAAGAAUCACCCAACGCUUGACUGACUUUCACAGUGUAUGAGGUUUGAUUUACCCCAGAGUGCCCUGCUUGAGCUUCUAAAAAUUCAUUUUUCCUUGUGUGCUUUCCUUUAGCGUCUGAACUUCUUCUUGGUGGUCUGCUCACUUACAUUCAGUAUUUGGGCCCAAAUCACAAUCACAGGCUCUGGCUCUCUUGUGCAAGGAAUGUAUCUAGUGAGGGGAUGUAGAAAGAAGGCAGCUUUCCAUCAUGGAAUGUAUUUGUGUGUUCCUUGGACUGUUUUUUAGAUAUUUCAGAGCUAGCAGAGAUCUAUAAGAUGAUGGAAAAUGGUUUCCUGUGCAGAUAUUGUGGUUACUUAAUGUUCAGUAUUGAUUCUUCAAUAUAUCAUUUCUUUACUGAAGGACUGAGGAACGACUGAUUUGGGAUAGUGGGCCUGUGCUGCCCAGCUGAAGCUGCACAUUUGUUUCCAGUAGAUGGCAAUAGGUGUUUGGAUCUGAAACCGUGUGCUCAAAAAGAUGUAGGGCCAACUGCUGGUGACGCAGCUUUCUCUGUCCAUGCUGAUCCUGGGCAGGACAGGCCUGACACGAGGCACAUGGUCUCCUGACUGUGUUGUGCAGCCCUCCUCAGCAAAAUGGGGACAGAGAGGUGCUCGGGGAUGGGAAGAUAACAGCAAACCUCUGCUUCUUACAGCAAGCUGCCUGCCUGCUGCCUGCUGCUGCUGCCUUCACCACACUAAAGUGCUCCAGCUUCUUCCAUUGAAAAGCUCGUGAGGGAGGAUCAAGAGAAUGGAACCUGAGCUAUUCAUAGUGCUGCUGCAAGGAUGUGUCAGCUAUCCCAGGACUAACAGCUGAAGGUAUGUGUGUACAGCAUCCCUGCACUAGAGGGGAGUUGGGAUGCUCCAUGUGCAGGGAGGGACUGGGAGAGCUCUAAGUGGGUACUGUACAGUACUGGUGUGGCCCCAUCAUCCCUCUGUAGCUGACUGACUGCUGCUCUGUGCCAUCCACUCUAUUCACUAGCCAGCUGCAUCUAAAAUAAAACAGACACGCUUUACCAGUGAAACAGUGUUUAAUAUAGUUAAAUUACUUAAAUAGAUUUCAAUUUCCAUGGGAAAUCAUAACUGUAUCCAUUUUUGCAAGAUCCAGAGUAAAGUGUGUGAAUACCCCUUGAAAUGAUCAUGACACACUGUCAACAAUCACAGCUAGAGAUACUGGGGACUUGAAAUUUCAUUGACAACACAACCUCCUAAGAUGAAUCAAAAGUUAAGACGACUGCAGACUUUCAUAAAGCAGAAAGCAAACCUAAAAAUGAGUGUAUAGCAUGGAGGUAAUGGAGCUGAGUGAGGGGACCAAGGGGGUGGAAGGCGGAGGGGGCAAGAAAUGCAUAAUGGCAUGAUGCAACGUAAGUAUUCUGCAAACAGGAGGGAUGUCAAGGAGCAAAAGUAUAGUACAAGGGCAGACUUGGCAGUUUUACAGAAGUCAAUAUACUAUACUUUUCAGAGAUGUUUCCAAGGGGAAGGAAAGGGGCAGUGCCAUUUAAGCUCGCACUUAAAUGGCUUAAUGCUAGGGUUAUGCUUAGCAAUAUGGCAACUUAAUUAAGAAAGACCCAUGGAUUUUUACUUGUACUUGUUGUCAAGUAGGAAAAAAUAAAUUACCACCACAGUGCAACCAUUAAGCUGUUAGUACUACAAUAAUUCUGCCCUGAGAAGAGUGGAAAAGAACUUUAUUAAACAUCAAAAGAUUGGAGCCACUUUUAGCACUAGCCAAAUUCAAUAUCAAAACUUGCCCCUCAUAGAAUAUAAAAAAUAUAACUUUUUAAAAUCUUUUCUUUUCUUUAAUAAAAUAUCAAGGGAUUUUUCUUUUGUAGCUAGAAAAGGUACAUAAAUGGUAACAGUGAACUAUUCAUAAACCCCCGCUAGUGAUAAAGAUGUCAGACAAUAUCAAUGGCACUGUACUUUAAGGUCACUCAUCUCAUACACACAUUUGCCAUCAAAGCCUCUUUUUGAAGAUCAGCUAAAUAACUCCUGAAAAUGGAAAAUGUGACAGUUUAAAUAAGUGCUUACUACAGGAAAGUCGACUCUAUGCUGCAGUACAUAGUUCUUUGUAAUGUCAAAUGGCAGUUACAAUAGCAGACAAUUCUCAUAUCAUCAGAUUCUAUUAAUCCAUCUCUGAAAACUGCUUUUUUUCAAAAUGAAAGUUCAAUUUCUUUUUCCUCCUAAGAGUUCCUGUUACAGUUAAUUAGAAGACUUGCUUAGAGCUUUUUAACAUGCUUGACAGAUACCGUCUCAUUAGCUAAAGCUCAUAAAAUAAGUCCUGUUUCCAUUUGUUAAGAUGCCACCCUCUGUGUGAAUGCUGCAUUGAACUAUUGUACCUUGUUGGGUUUUUUUUCUUCUUCGUUGGGAUUGCAGAUUUUUCUGGAUUUUCCUUUUAAAAUGCAUCUGAUUCAGCCCGGAACCUCACGUGUUUGAUUGUAUAGUGAUAAUCUGAAAACUGCCAAGUCUGUGUUCAGAGUAUUAUGCACAAAAAAUUACACAAAAGUCUAACAGGUUAUAUACACCUCCCAACACACCUUGGUGUGGACAGCCUGCCUUCUAAUUUAUAUAUAAUUUACAAAAUAUAGAAUUUGGUAUUUGUUAGAUCUCCAUGUUUUCAAUAUUACAAAAUAAAAAAUACAAAAAAAAAAA